rnacentral:rRNA from 1 species
UGAGGAAUAUUGGUCAAUGGCCGCAAGGCUGAACCAGCCAAGUAGCGUGCAGGAUGACGGCCCUCGGGUUGUAAACUGCUUUUAGUCGGGAAUAAAAGGACGCACGUGUGCGUCGUAUUGCAAGUACCGUCAGAAAAAGGACCGGCUAAUUCCGUGCCAGCAGCCGCGGUAAUACGGAAGGUCCGGGCGUUAUCCGGAUUCAUUGGGUUUAAAGGGAGCGCAGGCCGCCCCUUAAGCGUGUUGUGAAAUGCCGCGGCUCAACCGUGGCACUGCAGCGCGAACUGGGGGCUUGAGUGCGCGCAGCGCAGGCGGAACUCGUGGUGUAGCGGUGAAAUGCUUAGAUAUCACGAAGAACUCCGAUCGCGAAGGCAGCCUGCGGGAGCGCAACUGACGCUGAGGCUCGAAAGUGCGGGUA